AUUGAACGCUGGCGGCAGGCCUAACACAUGCAAGUCGAACGAGUGGCGGACGGGUGAGUAAUGUCUGGGAAACUGCCCGAUGGAGGGGGAUAACUACUGGAAACGGUAGCUAAUACCGCAUACCAUCGGAUGUGCCCAGAUGGGAUUAGCGAGUAGGUGGGGUAACGGCUCACCUAGGCGACGAUCCCUAGCUGGUCUGAGGUGAUGACCAGCCGCACUGGAACGAGAACACGGUCCAGACUCCUACUGGAGGCAGCAGUGGGGAAUAUUGCACAAUGGGCGCAAGCCUGAUGCAGCCAUGCCGCUUGUAUGAAGAAGGCCUUCGGGUUGUAAAGUACUUUCAGCGAGGAGGCGUUACUCGCAGAAGAAGCACCGGCUAACUCCGUGCCAGCAGCCGCGGUAAUAC
rnacentral:rRNA from 1 species